rnacentral:lncRNA from 1 species
UUCCCGGCGGGCGCACGGCCGGAGUGCGUCACGCUGCGUGAUCGCCGCGACGGAGCCAAUCGGUUGGAGGCGGCCGCGCGUGGACAGCGCCCUGAUUGGUAAGAAAACUACAGCUGCCCGGACAGGGAACCAAUGGCGGGGUACGGCCACCACGUGUACAGCUCGUGGAUAAACAGGCUUAGGAAGGAGAUUGCUUCAGCAGAAUAAGAAGAUAAUGGAACACUUUAUGCCAAGAGAGAACAUACAUAGGGCCCUGGGGAGACCACGAUGAUGUGAGUCACAUCGCCCUUCCCAUUCCUGUGCAUGCAGGCAAACGCUGUCACAAACACUGGGUCGGAGCACGUAGCCUAGAAGGAUCACAGCAUCACAGAAUGGCUUGGGUUGGAAGGGACCCCAAGGAUCGCCAAGUUCCAAGAAUGUUGUCUUAAAGCAGGCUAAUCAAAGGUUUUCAUUAAGUGCAGUGCAAGAGGAAGUGGCAAUA